rnacentral:rRNA from 1 species
UGAGUGAUGAAGGCUUAGGGUUGUAAAGCUCUUUUACCCGGGAAGAUAAUGACUGUACCUGGGAGAAUAAKGCUCCGGGCUAACUACCKGUUGMRAGCAGCSCGCGGUWAAUAACGGAGGGGGCUAGCGUUKUUCGGAAUUACUGGGCGUAAAGCGCACGUAGGCGGCUWUDYAAGUCAGAGGUGAAAGCCUGGRGCUCAACUCCAGAAYUGCCUUUGAGACUGCAUCGCUUGAAUSYAGKGAGAGGUGAGUGGAAUUCCGAGUGUAGAGGUGAAAUUCGUAGAUAUUCGGAAGAACACC